rnacentral:rRNA from 1 species
GACGAACGCUGGCGGCGUGCUUAACACAUGCAAGUCGAGCGAUGCACCUUUCAUGAAUUUUUCGGAAUGAUUGGAAGAGGAUUAGCGGCGGACGGGUGAGUAACGCGUGAGCAACCUGCCUUAAACAACGGGAUAGCCUCGGGAAACCGGGACUAAUUCCGUAUGAGACCCCGCCUUCACAUGAAGCAGAGGUUAAAGAUUUAUCGGUUUUAGAUGGGCUCGCGUCUGAUUAGCUAGUUGGUGAGAUAAAAGCCCACCAAGGCAACGAUCAGUAACCGGCUUGAGAGAGUGAACGGUCACAUUGGAACUGAGACACGGUCCAAACUCCUACGGGAGGCAGCAGUGGGGAAUAUUGCACAAUGGGGGAAACCCUGAUGCAGCGACGCCGCGUGAGCGAUGAAGGAAUUCGUUUCGUAAAGCUCUGUCCAAGGGGAAGAUAAUGACAGUACCCUUGGAGGAAGCCCCGGCUAAAUACGUGCCAGCAGCCGCGGUAAAAC